rnacentral:rRNA from 1 species
UACGUAGGUGGCAAGCGUUGUCCGGAAUUAUUGGGCGUAAAGCGCGCGCAGGCGGUCUCUUAAGUCUGAUGUGAAAUCCCGUGGCUUAACCACGGGCGGUCAUUGGAAACUGGGGGGACUUGAGUGCAGAAGAGAAGAGCGGAAUUCCACGUGUAGCGGUGAAAUGCGUAGAGAUGUGGAGGAACACCAGUGGCGAAGGCGGCUCUUUGGUCUGUAACUGACGCUGAGGCGCGAAAGCGUGGGGAGCGAACAGG